rnacentral:misc_RNA from 1 species
UCCUCGUUGAAGCGAGGCAGUCUGUCCAGAGUGCUCCAGCCUCUCGACCGGGUGGCAACGCGAAGAACCUUACCUGGCCUUGACAUGCAAGUGGUAGAACCAUGAAAGUGGGACGACCCCGCAAGGGGAGCUUGCACAGGUGCUGCAUGGCUGUCGUCAGCUCGUGUCGUGAGAUGUUGGGUUAAGUCCCGCAACGAGCGCAACCCUUGUCAUUAGUUGCUACAUUCAGUUGGGCACUCUAAUGAGACUGCCGGUGACAAACCGGAGGAAGGUGGGGAUGACGUCGUAUCUCACUG